GGGUCAGUAGGUUGGUCGUGCCACCGGUACGUACUGGUCUCACUGAUUCCUCCUUCCUGAAGAACCGUAAUGCCAUUAAUUGGGUGUUGCGGGGAAACAGGACCGUUACUUUGAAAAAAUUAGAGUGUUUAAAGCAAGCUAACGCUUGAAUACAUUAGCAUGGAAUAAUGAAAUAGGACGAUCGAUCCUAUUUUGUUGGUUUCUAGGAUUGACGUA
rnacentral:rRNA from 1 species